GGAAUAUUGGUCAAUGGGGGCAACCCUGAACCAGCCAAGUCGCGUGAAGGAUGAAGGUCUUAUGGAUUGUAAACUUCUUUUAUACAGGAAUAAAUUGGGGGACGUUUCCCCUUUUGCAUGUACUGUAUGAAUAAGGAUCGGCUAACUCCGCGCCAGCAGCCGCGGUAAUACGGAGGAUCCGAGCGUUAUCCGGAUUUAUUGGGUUUAAAGGGUGCGCAGGCGGGAUGUUAAGUCGGCGGUGAAAUUUUGCAGCUCAACUGUAAAAGUGCCUUCGAUACUGGGUUCCUUGAGUGUAGAUGAAGUAGGCUGAAUUUGUGGUGUAGCGGUGAAAUGCGUAGCUAUCACGAGGAACUCCGGUUGCGCAGGCAGCGUACUAACCUACAACUGACGCU
rnacentral:rRNA from 1 species